rnacentral:rRNA from 1 species
CCUCAACUCAGGUAGGACGACCCGCUGGACUUAAGCAUAUCAAUAAACGGAGGAA